AAAAAUCAAGUGAUUUAUAAUUGCCAAUCGUUCGAUCACCAAUAUCUCAUCAUAACAACAUUGAAGAAAUUAUGCAAAAAAUAUCAUCUCAUCCUUGUGAAAAACAAUGUUAUGUAAUGUCAUCCAUGUAACCAUAAUGAGCCUAACAACACCUCCGUAAGAAUACUCCAUAUCUCAACAAGAUGUUAUCUGUAAGAAAAUCAGAAUAAAAGAAUAAUUAAGAUAUAAUAUAGCAAUAUUUUUUAGAGUAUCUAAACAUAUGGAUUAGUACACACACAAUUCAUAGUUCGACAUAUAAUGCUUUUGGCAGACAAGGAGAUGACACACAUCAAACACAAAUAUAUUACACGCAAUCCAAGGAAAAAGUUAGUAAUAUUUUUAGCAUAAUUCACUUUAUUUGUGCAGCUAAGAAAAAACCUGAAAAUACAACAUAGACCAUCUCAACCUUGUUUCAAAAUGGAAUAACAACAUAGUAAUGAUCCAAAAACCAAUACUAACCCAUUUAAUUAGUAUCUAAUCAUAUAUAUCCCAAGUAUUAAUUAUAUUCUACUGGUCACAAGAAAUUUGGGUUUUGAUCUGGUCAAGGCUGGAUAUUACUUCCAAUGGUGCACAGUUGAAACAGUACUAGAAUAUUUUUGAUCUUGCACAGGGGCUGUCAGACUGCUCAGGUAAUCUUUGUGCAGUGAUAUACUGUUGUUAGCUAGUUAGGGCUCUAUUAGAUUGAUAUUAAUUGUAUGGUGUGGUGUUGGUCCUAAAAGCUCCAGGACAGCAGAUCCAUAGUUUCACACUGUAAGGGUACUACAACUUGUAUAUGGGUUUUCUUUUGGUUGUGUUUUUUAGGGGUGCAAUUCGAGCCGCUCGAGCCGAGCUAAGGUAUGCUCGAACUCGGCUCGUUACUAACCGAGCCGAGCUCGAGCCGAGCUCAAAAUUAAGAUCGAGCUGAACUAUGAGCUCGAACUCGGCUCGCGAGCCAACAGUAAAACUCGAGCUCGGCUCGUUUGGCUCGCUGGCUCGUUCGGCUCGCUCGGCUCGUUCGGCUCAACUCUUCUUCUUCACAUUCACACAAAUCUCUUAGAAAUUUUUCUCUCAAUAUGAUUAAUCAAUCUCUUUCAAAACCUUCAAUUCCUUCAAUCUCAAUCUCAUCUACAAAACCCAAAUCUUUAAUUUUCUUUUCUCAUCCAAAACAAAGAAAUAUUAUUAUUAUUAGAUCAAAACUUGAUUGGGCUGUGCAAGUGAAGAAGAUACAAAUCUGAAUCUGUAACCAAGUUAUGCCCCAGAAUCCCAGAUGAGUAAUCCAUCUGGAACUGUCUUCCCUAUGCAAUUCUAUGGAUUGUAUGGAUCACACGGAAUGCCAUCAUUUUCGAGAACAAAGGCCUGGAUCUCUCUAAAGUCUGCAACCACAUCAAAGGAAUCAUUUGAUUUUGGAUGGGAGGAUCAAUGAGAAAUGAAGGGCAUUUUUUUGAGGAGCUGAUCACAAAUUGGAGUGGCAUUCUUAACAGCUGAAAGGGGUGUUGCUGUAAUCCUUUAUACUACAUAAGCAACCCAUUUCUUCAUAGGUACAGCAACCAUUAUGCUAACUGCCAAAAUUAACUUCCAUGUCUUUGGUGAUUGUAACAGUUGUUCCCUUGUAUCAGUAAUGAAAUAACUAAGGAAAUUGGAUUGUAGCGGGCAGCGAACAAUUGAGAUGCUUUGUUGAUAAAAGACUGAGACCAUCUUAAAGAGGGUAAUGCUGCAUACACUGGUAAAUGACCUGAGCAGGAAGUCUACUAAAAAUUUCUUCAACAACAUCACGAGGAGCAUAUCCAGCUCGAGGGGUGUAGGAUCAACUUUAGUUUGUUUUUAGAAACCAAGAAGUUAGAAUAGAUACAGUUGUUCCCUUGUGUCUAUAAUAAUUCUUCUGAGCAAGAGUUAAGAACAAAUCUUCUGAGCAAUCUUCUGAACAAAUCUUUUUUUUUUUUUUUUUAUAUAUAAUUAUAGAUUUGUGAAUCAGUAAAUGCAAAUAUGAUUAAGGAUUUAAGGGGUUGAAUGAGAUCUGAAAAAUUGUUUAAAAGAUUAAGCCCAACUGCCCAAGCCCAUAGUUAACGAGCUGCUCGGCUCGGCUCGUUUAGAGCUCGAGCUCGGCUCGGGCUCGUGAUGAGCUCAAAAACCUGCUCGAACUCGGCUCGUUUAAAUAAAUGAGCGAGCCGAGCCGAGCUUUUAUCGAGCCGAGCCCGAGCCGCUCGGCUCAGAUUGCAGCCCUAGUGUUUUUACUCUCUAAAACAGCUGAAAUAAGAUGAGCAAGGAGGCAAUUUUAGGGAGGAAACUUUGUAAUUGCUCAGCUCAAACAAAUAAUUUGAUAGAGUAAUGAAACAAAUUGAUUUUAUACAAAAAAAUUAUAUUCUACUAAUCAGCAAAGUAAAGCUUUCAUUGGUUACACAUUGGUCAAUAAGUAGUACUCGUCAACAUUAUAAGUGAUGAUGUUAUUGGUAUAAUGUAUACGUAAUAUUAAUCAACAUACCUUUAACAUUAUAGAAAUCGUUCAACGUAACCGAUAAACUCAAGACGAACUUCAUUCAGUUCAGCUUUGGUGUAUGUUGCCUUCAUUUUUAGCUCCGUCAUCUAAACAGGUCAAUGGGAAAGAAAAUGAACAAUAGUUUAAUUUAAACCUAGAAAUAUAUGGAACAAAAAAAAUGAGAAAAUAUUAAUCACCUUCUCCUCUAGGGAUUUAGAAGGAUCUUUCAUGAAAUGUCGCAUGAACCGCAUUACAAAAUAUC
rnacentral:lncRNA from 1 species